AGAGUUUGAUCCUGGCUCAGGAUGAACGCUAGCGGCAGGCUUAACACAUGCAAGUCGAGGGGUAGCAGGGAGCUUGCUCCGCUGACGACCGGCGAACGGGUGCGUAACGCGUAUAGAAUCUACCUCUUACUAAGGGAUAGCCCAGAGAAAUUUGGAUUAAUAUCUUAUAGUAUGUUAACUUGGCAUCAAGAUAACAUUAAAGGUUACGGUAAGAGAUGACUAUGCGUCCUAUUAGCUAGAUGGUGUGGUAACGGCACACCAUGGCAACGAUAGGUAGGGGCCCUGAGAGGGGGAUCCCCCACACUGGUACUGAGACACGGACCAGACUCCUACGGGAGGCAGCAGUGAGGAAUAUUGGACAAUGGAGGCAACUCUGAUCCAGCCAUGCCGCGUGCAGGAAGACUGCCUUAUGGGUUGUAAACUGCUUUUAUACAGGAAGAAACACUCUCACGUGUGAGAGCUUGACGGUACUGUAAGAAUAAGGAUCGGCUAACUCCGUGCCAGCAGCCGCGGUAAUACGGAGGAUCCAAGCGUUAUCCGGAAUCAUUGGGUUUAAAGGGUCCGUAGGUGGAUAAUUAAGUCAGAGGUGAAAUCCUGCAGCUCAACUGUAGAAUUGCCUUUGAUACUGGUUGUCUUGAGUUAUUAUGAAGUAGUUAGAAUAUGUAGUGUAGCGGUGAAAUGCAUAGAUAUUACAUAGAAUACCAAUUGCGAAGGCAGAUUACUAAUAAUAUACUGACACUGAUGGACGAAAGCGUGGGGAGCGAACAGGAUUAGAUACCCUGGUAGUCCACGCCGUAAACGAUGGUCACUAGCUGUUCAAACUUAGGUUUGAGUGGCUAAGCGAAAGUGAUAAGUGACCCACCUGGGGAGUACGUUCGCAAGAAUGAAACUCAAAGGAAUUGACGGGGGCCCGCACAAGCGGUGGAGCAUGUGGUUUAAUUCGAUGAUACGCGAGGAACCUUACCAGGGCUUAAAUGUAAAUUGACAGGUUUAGAAAUAGACUUUUCUUCGGACAAUUUACAAGGUGCUGCAUGGUUGUCGUCAGCUCGUGCCGUGAGGUGUCAGGUUAAGUCCUAUAACGAGCGCAACCCCUGUUGUUAGUUGCCAGCGAGUCAUGUCGGGAACUCUAACAAGACUGCCAGUGCAAACUGUGAGGAAGGUGGGGAUGACGUCAAAUCAUCACGGCCCUUACGUCCUGGGCUACACACGUGCUACAAUGGUAGGGACAGAGAGCAGCCACUGGGUGACCAGGAGCGAAUCUAUAAACCCUAUCACAGUUCGGAUCGGAGUCUGCAACUCGGCUCCGUGAAGCUGGAAUCGCUAGUAAUCGCAUAUCAGCCAUGAUGCGGUGAAUACGUUCCCGGGCCUUGUACACACCGCCCGUC
rnacentral:rRNA from 1 species